rnacentral:rRNA from 1 species
GAUGCUUGUUUGAACCGCAUGGUUCAAACAUAAAAGGUGGCUUCGGCUACCACUUACAGAUGGACCCGCGGCGCAUUAGCUAGUUGGUGAGGUAAUGGCUCACCAAGGCAACGAUGCGUAGCCGACCUGAGAGGGUGAUCGGCCACACUGGGACUGAGACACGGCCCAGACUCCUACGGGAGGCAGCAGUAGGGAAUCUUCCGCAAUGGACGAAAGUCUGACGGAGCAACGCCGCGUGAGUGAUGAAGGUUUUCGGAUCGUAAAGCUCUGUUGUUAGGGAAGAACAAGUACCGUUCGAAUAGGGCGGUACCUUUUUUUUUUUUUAACCAGAAAGCCACGGCUAACUACGUGCCAGCAGCCGCGGUAAUACGUAGGUGGCAAGCGUUGUCCGGAAUUAUUGGGCGUAAAGGGCUCGCAGGCGGUUUCUUAAGUCUGAUGUGAAAGCCCCCGGCUCAACCGGGGAGGGUCAUUGGAAACUGGGGAACUUGAGUGCAGAAGAGGAGAGUGGAAUUCCACGUGUAGCGGUGACAUGCGUAGAGAUGUGGAGGAACACCAGUGGCGAAGGCGACUCUCUGGUCUGUAACUGACGCUGAGGAGCGAAAGCGUGGGGAGCGAACAGGAUUAGAUACCCUGGUAGUCCACGCCGUAAACGAUGAGUGCUAAGUGUUAGGGGGUUUCCGCCCCUUAGUGCUGCA